AACGAACGCUGGCGGCAGGCUUAACACAUGCAAGUCGAACGCCCCGCAAGGGGAGUGGCAGACGGGUGAGUAACGCGUGGGAACGUGCCCUUCGCUUCGGAAUAGCCCCGGGAAACUGGGAGUAAUACCGGAUACGCCGUAUUGGGAAAGAUUUAUCGGCGAAGGAUCGGCCCGCGUUAGAUUAGCUAGUUGGCGGUGUAAUGGACCACCAAGGCUACGAUCUAUAGCUGGUCUGAGAGGAUGAUCAGCCACACUGGAACUGAGACACGGCCCAGACUCCUACGGGAGGCAGCAGUGGGGAAUCUUGGACAAUGGGCGCAAGCCUGAUCCAGCCAUGCCGCGUGAGUGAAGAAGGCCUUAGGGUUGUAAAACUCUUUCGCCGGAGAAGAUAAUGACGGUAUCCGGAGAAGAAGCCCCGGGCUAACUUCGUGCCAGCAGCCGCGGUAAU
rnacentral:rRNA from 1 species